UUUCGUAAAAAUCCUAUCUGAUCUUGCGAAAUUGCUCAACGUUUUUAAUGAAAAAUUCUAUUUGCGAUAUAAAAUUGGAAAUAAAAAGGAAAAUACGGCCUAACUACUUCGAUUUGAAACAAAAGCUAUCGAACAACCUCGAAUUCGUUUUUCAGUUCAACAUUCUUCGCACAUUACGAUUUUCGAUACAAUAAUAUUUUUCAUACCUUUAAACGCUUAAUUUCUUUUUACAUAUAAAUAGAACUAAAUGCUGUUAUUUUACUACUGUCGUUAAAUAUUUCCGGUUACGCAAUACUUUUAGGCGGAACAUUAUGCUCCAAAAAGAAGAAGCAAGCAACUUCUAGAUAAAAGUCAUCCACAGAUAAAAUUUGUUUGUUUCAUCAUUUAAAAGAUUAGGCAAAUACAAAUAAUUUAAAAUUGUGUAGACUAAUCGAGUGGAUACAUAUAUCGUGCACCACUAUCAUAACAACUUCAUUUCUUUCAUUUCCUUGUUCGUAGAAUGCGAAAUCGCUAAAUGUUUCCAAUAAAAGUUGUAUCACUCUUCGCAUGAAAUUUUUUUAAUAUCCUGCCACUUGUUGCGGAUAGAAUCGAAAAGAAUCGUUUUCCGAAUAACAAUCUCGGAAAAGCAAUUUCAGCCAGCGAAGAAGGAACAUAUUGUACACGAUAUAACGCCUUGAAACAUUUAGCUUGGAAGUUUAUCGGCAACGCGCAUUUCCAUAGCGAGUGAAACGUUCGAUCGCACGACAAUAAUUUUUAGCCCCGAGAAACGCCUCGAGAAAAGCAUCGGAAUUGGGGAAAAAGCAACAACAAAAAGAACAGGCAGAAAAAACAGAGAAAAGUAAUAGCAGUCGCGGUCAACGGAUUUACCGGGUUCCCAAAAAAUAAGCGCACGAGGAGGCCUCUUUUUCCCUCGGGGAACGACAAUUGAAUCAAUUUAGAGGGCGGUUUUGAUAGGCCGUACGACAUGUGAACGCGUUACACGGCAGGUGUUUUGAAAUAUUACGCCGGUGUUACGCCAAUUAUCGUCGACAGCUCGCAGAAAAAAAAUGCGAUCGGCUGUUACGACACACGUCAGAUCGCGAUUUUUUUCGGGAAUACGAAAUACGCUUGGUAUAGGUUGUACAGUGCUAGACGAUAUACUGGCAUAAGUAUUAGAUCGUAGCAUAAUAAACUCGUUACGCGUUUGUUUAUUUAAAAAUAUCAACGAGAUUGUUAUUUUUAUAUUGUAAAAUUUUGUUAACCGACGAUAUAUGUAUUAUUUCCUUUCACUGUCAUUUAAUAGUGGAUUAAGUAAUUUUUGUGAUUUUAUUAUUCCAAAGUUUUCGUUCUUUAAAAUAGUUUCAGACAAUAAAAAAUUUAGCACUUUCAGCUUCCACUAGUAUGGAAUAGUUUAAUAGCAUGAAAGCUGAAAACGAGAAAAACGAUACGUAUGCGUGGUGAAGUACGUACUUGCAUUUUCAAGUGUUCUUGUUGACUUAACUGCAACUGUCUAUUCGAGUGAGAAUGCGUAAAUGUUUGGAAGCUGAUGAAGAGCAUUUUGAACAUCUAUUACAAUAUUUUGACGAUGUUGAACAUGUAUUUCUUCACGGCGCUUGAAAAUCAUUGUGCAUAAGAUUUCAUCAAAAGGAUAAGACAGAUAAAACUUUAUCUUUGAGAAUGUUAGAAUUGCCUUUAAAAGAGAGAUGAUUAAAUAAUGUGUUUACAGUGAAUCUGCAGUUUAUUAAUGAUUCAGAAGUCAAUGCGACGAGAAAUUUUUAUAAAAAGGGGAAAAGGAAAAUAACAGGAACCUUAUUCGAGGCAUUGUUAAAAUAAAAAAAGGAAGAUCUGGAAAUAUUUACAAGCAUAUCUAAUUAUAAGUUUAUUAAUUUGGAAAUAAACACAAGAUAAAAAUUAUGAACAGAGAUUACAAUCGAAUUUCUUGGAAGAAAAUGAUAAAUUGGCAGCAAAACAACGAUCUUCAGAAAAAUAAUUAUUUUAUCAAGAUAAGAAACGACAGGGGGUUUGUUUUUCUCUCUCGUAGAUUUCUGCGAAGCAGGAAGGCCUGCGCAAUAUGUUUAUCCAAUACGGUGUUUACCUUGUAGUCGACGAAUCUCGAUAAAAUGCAAUAGUAUCCGUGACGAUCACAAAUAGAGUUUGAUGAUUCGUCAAGGUAUCCCGUCCAAAUAGAAAAAAUAUUAUCUACAGAUUUGUCGGAUCAUAUAAAUAUCAAAGUUACAACAAAUAUGCUCAGACGUUGCAAGUUACAUCAAAGAUACUGAAAGCUGAAUCUA